rnacentral:rRNA from 1 species
GAUGAACGCUGGCGGCGUGCCUAAUACAUGCAAGUCGAGCGAACGGACGAGAAGCUUGCUUCUCUGAUGUUAGCGGCGGACGGGUGAGUAACACGUGGAUAACCUACCUAUAAGACUGGGAUAACUUCGGGAAACCGGAGCUAAUACCGGAUGAUAUUUUGAACCGCAUGGUUCAAUAGUGAAAGACGGUCUUGCUGUCACUUAUAGAUGGAUCCGCGCCGCAUUAGCUAGUUGGUAAGGUAACGGCUUACCAAGGCAACGAUGCAUAGCCGACCUGAGAGGGUGAUCGGCCACACUGGAACUGAGACACGGUCCAGACUCCUACGGGAGGCAGCAGUAGGGAAUCUUCCGCAAUGGGCGAAAGCCUGACGGAGCAACGCCGCGUGAGUGAUGAAGGUCUUCGGAUCGUAAAACUCUGUUAUUAGGGAAGAACAUAUGUGUAAGUAACUGUGCACAUCUUGACGGUACCUAAUCAGAAAGCCACGGCUAACUACGUG